UACGUAGGGUGCAAGCGUUAAUCGGAAUUACUGGGCGUAAAGCGUGCGCAGGCGGUUUUGUAAGUUUGUCGUGAAAGCCCCGGGCUCAACCUGGGAAUUGCGAUGAAGACUGCAAGGCUUGAAUCUGGCAGAGGGGGGUAGAAUUCCACGUGUAGCAGUGAAAUGCAUAGAUAUGACCCGGAACACCGAUUGCGAAGGCAGCCCGCUAAGCAACUAUUGACGCUGAGGCACGAAAGCGUGGGGAUCAAACAGG
rnacentral:rRNA from 1 species